CGCGCUGCUGCCGGAGGUCCGGGCCAGGUUGACGGAAGACACAGUGAGCCAGCCCCUCUCCCCUAGGCAACCCACACAACCCGGGGUCUGGAGAUGCUGAGAUCAAUGUGGAAUUUUCUGAAACGUCACAAAAAGAAAUGCAUCUUCCUGGGCACAGUCCUCGGAGGAGUAUAUAUCCUGGGAAAAUAUGGACAGAAAAAAAUUAGAGAAAUACAAGAAAGAGAAGCUGCAGAAUACAUUGCCCAAGCUCGGCGACAGUACCAUUUUGAAAGCAACCAGAGGACUUGCAAUAUGACAGUGCUGUCCAUGCUGCCGACACUGAGAGAGGCCUUAAUGCAGCAGCUCAACUCGGAGAGUCUCACAGCUCUGCUGAAAAGCAGGCCUUCAAACAAGCUGGAAAUAUGGGAGGACCUAAAGAUAAUAAGUUUCACAAGAAGUAUUGUAGCUGUAUAUAGCACGUGUAUGCUGGUGGUUCUUUUGCGAGUCCAGUUAAACAUAAUUGGUGGAUAUAUUUACCUGGAUAAUGCAACAGUUGGCAAAAAUGACACUAGCAUUCUGGCUCCUCCAGAUGUACAGCAGCAGUAUUUAUCAAGUAUUCAGCACCUCCUUGGAGAUGGCCUAACAGAGUUGGUCACUGUCAUUAAACAAGCUGUACAAAGGAUCUUAGGAAGUGUUUCUCUUAAACAUUCCUUGUCCCUUUUGGACUUGGAGCAAAAACUAAAAGAAAUCAGAAUUCUUGUUGAGCAACAUCGGACUUCUUGGAAUGAUAAAGAUGUGUCCCGGUCUUCACUGUGCCAGUACAUGAUGCCAGAUGAGGAGACACCAUUGGCAGCUCAGGCCUAUGGGCUUUCUCACAGAGAUAUCACCACUAUUAAACUUCUCAAUGAGACAAGAGACAUGCUGGAAAGUCCAGAUUUUAGUACAGUUUUGAAUACCUGUCUAAACAGAGGCUUCAGUCGGCUUCUAGACAACAUGGCUGAAUUCUUUCGACCCACUGAGCAGGACCUACAACAUGGUAACUCCAUAAACAGUCUGUCCAGUGUCAGCCUGCCUUUAGCUAAGAUAAUUCCCAUAGUGAACGGGCAGAUCCAUUCAGUUUGCAGUGAGACACCUAGUCAUUUUGUGCAGGAUCUGCUGAUGAUGGAACAAGUGAAAGACUUUGCUGCUAAUGUGUACGAAGCGUUUAGUACCCCCCAACAACUGGAGAAAUGAUUGUUUUCUUUCAAAAAAAACUAUAGCGGAUUCAGCUACACUAAAAAGUACUCUGAAUAAAUCACCUACACAAUUUGCAAUUGACAAUUUGCAACCAAAUGCCUAAUAAAGUCUGUUCUUGAGCAAAGUCUUCAUUUCA